GUGGGGAAUAUUGGGCAAUGGGCGCAAGCCUGACCCAGCAACGCCGCGUGAGGGAAGAAGGUCUUCGGAUUGUAAACCUCUGUCCUUGGGGACGAAAAAAAUGACGGUACCCAAGGAGGAAGCUCCGGCUAACUACGUGCCAGCAGCCGCGGUAAUACGUAGGGAGCGAGCGUUGUCCGGAAUUACUGGGCGUAAAGGGUGCGUAGGCGGCUUGGCAAGUCAGAUGUGAAAUCCCCGGGCUUAACUCGGGAGUUGCAUUUGAAACUGCUAGGCUUGAGUGCAGGAGAGGAAAGCGGAAUUCCUAGUGUAGCGGUGAAAUGCGUAGAUAUUAGGAGGAACACCAGUGGCGAAGGCGGCUUUCUGGACUGUAACUGACGCUGAGGCACGAAAGCGUGGGGAGCAAACAGGAUUAGAAACCCUUGUAGUCC
rnacentral:rRNA from 1 species